AUCGAUGAAGAACGCAGCGAAGUGCGAUAAGCAAUGCGAAUUGCAGAACCGUGAGUCAUCAGAUUUUUGAACGCAACUGGCACUGAUUGGAAACCCAAUCAGUAUGCUUGUUUCAGUGUCUUUUUAUCUCAUCACCCAAAUCAUAAUGCGAGAGAUACCCUUCUCUUGUUAAGCAUGAAAGCACUCUGCGCUCUGCGAGCGACUUCGAUUCGUCGAUGGUCGCACUCAAUGCAGCAGUCACAUUGCUCACAAUGUGAACUCAUUGAGAGCUGAGGCAGUGCGGCGAAAGCUGCCAGUGCUUAGUCACUCAAACUUUAUUUGCAUCUGAAAUCAAGCAGGAUCACCCGCUGAACUUAAG
rnacentral:rRNA from 1 species